rnacentral:lncRNA from 1 species
AGCGAGUACCCAUUUGCUGAACUGAUCCGGUUCCAUAAAUCCCGUGGCAGCGAGGCAACGAUCAUGGUGACCAAGGUACAGUCCUCCUGGCUACGGUACCUUAUGUUACCGGCUUCCCUGCAAGAAUCUCAUCUUUUCUGACAGGUUGAGGAGCCAUCCAAGUAUGGUGUAGUUGUCAUGGAGGAGGAAACCGGAAAGGUUGAUAGAUUCGUGGAAAAGCCACAAACAUUCGUGGGAAACAAGAUCAAUGCUGGAAUUUACUUGUUGAACCCAUCUGUGUUGGACCGCAUCGAACUCAAGCCGACCUCAAUCGAGAAGGAGGUGUUCCCGAAGAUCGCAG